AUGCAGAUAAGCAGAAGAGACUGUCCCUCUCCCUCACUAUUGUGGUGUCCCAGGCUUGGAGGGGGGUAGGGUUUUGUGAGGCAAGCUCUGUCCUGUGAAGCAGAGCAGAAAUGUAACAACUAAGCAGGACUUUAUGAGGUAUCCAGGAGAAUAGUGGAGAACUGUGCUCUGUGUCAGCAAUGCAAUCCAAAGGGAGUGAGCAAAGAAGCACCACCUGGGGGACGCUGAUGGGCUCACAGACCUAUGCAGCAUCUACAGAUUGAUUUUACUGAUUUACCUCCCUCUGAAGGGAAGCGACAUUUGCUGGUUAUAGUUGACCAGCUUACGGGAUGAGUCGAAGCCUAUCCUACAGCCCGAGCUACUGCAACUACCAUCUGCAAGAUUUUAGUCAAUGAAGUGAUUCCGAGGUUUGGCCCCCCUGAGGUAAAAGCAUACAAGAAGACUCCGCUUCAACCGCAGUGGCUGGGACCCUUUGAGAUCCUUCUGACAAGCCCUACCGCCGUCCGAGUAAAGGAGUUACCUACUUGGACCCAUCCCACCAGACUCAAGAGGAGCACUGCUCGGGAACCUGACCUGGUAAAAGGUUUCCCAGAAGCAGACAACGUCGGACUUUGAGGGAGCUGCCCAUGGUCACCCCACCGCGAACCGGGUGAACCAGAAGCAGACGACACCUGUGCCCCAGACAAAUGGACUGUUACCCCUUUGGGCGACCUGAAGCUCCGACUCGCAAGGAAACUGUAACUUGGUUAUGUCUUUUUUCAAAAGGAUGGCCCAACUUGCUAGCAUGAGUCUUCCUGUUUUUGUUCUGUUUAUUAUUUGUUAUCCUCCUUCUUUGGGGUUUCGGGGAGUUAAGAUUGUAAAAUCUCUUAAUUCAAUGUCAAUGUCUAUGCAAUGUAUUUGGGGUUUCCUUUCCUUAUUUCCAAAGUCAACACUAGGAUGGGAGGGUAACAGUUUCCUAAGUUUAACUCACACCAUAAUUCAAAGUGUAAAUCAAACACAAUGCUGGGUUUGCAUUCAUACCCCCACACACAUAGGCCAGGGAAUCCCAUUGAAAGGGGUACCUAUUCCCCUUAAUCGAGCCUUCCAGGCCAGGUUAUGGAUGAACACUACCUUCACUUGGAGUGCUGCAAUCCAAACAUGGUCCAUUGACAUGGUAGCCCAAGGUAGUUAUGUUUCGUGUGUGUCACGAAAGAAGACCACACAUAACACUUUUUGUGGGCAAUUAUACACGGUGUGGUGACACCUCUCGGAUCAGUUCUAAUGUGGCAAGUUUUUCCAAUUUCUCCAGGGCCCCAUGGCCGGUCCCUGAGGAAUCUAGCUGGUAUUAGCUAUGCAAUUACAUAUGGCACGUGUACCUUGGGGGCCAUAGUGCCAGCUGUCACGGUACAUCAAACUUUGAACCAAGGGGAGAUCCGUAAUCUUGCAUGGCGAAACAGAAGAAGCGUUCCUACAAAUCCCCUGUCUGACAAGCCCACAGGCUUUCAUUCCUUUGUACGCUGGUUUCUACCUUGGGUAGGAGUUAGUGAAUUGGAAAAGGCUAUAGUAAAUAUUUCAGCAGCAUUGGAAGUUAUGGCAAAUGCUACUGCAGACGCCUUAUCCGCUCUUCAAAUUGAACUAACCCAAUUGUCUCAAACAGCUAUACAAAAUCGUUUGGCUCUGAAUUAUCUCCUUGAUAAUCAGGGUGGAGUUUGUGCCCUAGUUAACUCUAGCUGGUGUGUGUUUGUAAACCAACACCAACAGGUGGAGACCGACAUUCAUGCCAUUAUGCAGCAAGCUGCCUCAUUUCAUCGCAUUAGCCUUGACAAUACCAGCACCAGGUUCCAAAAGGUUUGGAACUGGUUGACUUCAUGGUUACCUGAUUUGGGGGCGUGGGGCUGGCGUAUAUUGUACCUGGCUUUAUGUGCACUCCUCUUCUUUAUUAUAAUCUUUGUGCUUAUACAAUGUUGCCACAUUUGCUGUCCCCAAUUCUUAACUUGCUCCAAACAUUGUUUUGCCCCAAUAUAGCAUAUUCACAUGAGUAACCACGCCUGCUUAUAUUUGUUUGUGCUAUUGUCCCAAGAGUCCCAUCAUGGUCCUCUAGGGACAAAGGGGGGACUGUUAGGCCUUACUGGAAAUGUAUCACAAAGCCAGUUAUGCCAACCUGAACAAAGUCAGGCUAACAGAGGCUUCUGGGUAAUUCAUAAAUGGAAAACGCCCGGGAGCUAUCUGUCUCUCACAGAGUCAGGCAACUAUAAGAUAAGAAAGGAAUGGCAUUCCUGGCAUGGUACCAGAUGUACUGUGUUAGGAACAAUGGCAAAACUCCCUCUUUCUGGUCUCUGUUUCUUUCUGACUCCCUCAUUAUUACUCACAUAAAUCAUAUCAUGCUUGUUUGUAGUAAUUGUUAAGGCAGUAUUAUUCAUAUUAAUCAAUUAGUUUUAACAAAAAAAUAUAUACAUAAUAAAGGUUUUGGGUUUUAGUCAUUAGUAAAAGGGAGUUGGACUGCUAAAUGAAAUGAAUUUGUGACGCGACGAAACAGUCUAUAAAAUCAUAUGCUAGUUGUAAAGAAGCAAGCUGGUUCUCUCUGGAG